UCCCUGCGCAGGCAGUGGGGCAAAUGUAGAUGUAAAAAUAUCAUUAGAAAAUAUGUAAUCGUGUGGAAUAGGUUUUCGGCGUUGGCAGCUUGCGAUGAGGGAAGGAAAACAGGGCAGAUUGGAUUUUGUGUUGCACCUCUGUGGAGCACGGACCGUUAUAUUGAGAGAAAUAAUGCGGAAUAUUUCCCCCAGUAGGUGUUAACGCAGAAAAUUCAAGAUGAAGAAGCAAUUCAAUCGGAUGCGACAGCUUGCCAACCAAACUGUGGGAAGGGCCGAGAAAACAGAGGUGUUAAGCGAGGACCUUCUACAGGUGGAGAAGCGUCUGGAUCUGGUCAAGCAGGUGACACACAGCACUCACAAGAAGCUGACGGCCUGCCUGCAGGGUCAGCAGGGGGCCGAUGUCGAGAAGAGAUCUGUCAAGUCUCCUUCUAAGAAACUACCGCUCACCAUCCUUGCACAAUGUAUGGUAGAAGGAGCUGCUGUGUUGGGGGAUGACUCUCUCCUGGGGAAGAUGCUGAUGAUGUGUGGGGAGACGGAGGAGAAGUUGGCCCAGGAGCUCAUCCUGUUUGAGUUUCAGAUAGAAAGAGAUGUGGUGGAGCCUAUGUAUGUGCUCGCUGAGGUGGACAUUCCAAACAUCCAGAAACAGAGGAAGCACUUAGCCAAACUUGUUUUGGACAUGGACUCAGCUAGAACAAGAUUUCAUCAAUCAUCCAAGUCAUCUAGUCACCCAAGCACACUGCAGCCCGGCGCCAAGGCAGAGUCUCUCCGAGAGGAGAUGGAGGAGGCAGCCAAUCGGAUGGAGAUAUGUAGGGAUCAGUUGUCAGCAGAUAUGUACAGUUUUGUGGCCAAAGAAAUAGACUAUGCAAAUUACUUCCAGACACUAAUAGAAACGCAGGCAGAGUAUCACAGGAAGUCAUUAGAGAUUCUUCAGAGUAUCCUGCCCCAGAUAAAAGCUCACCAAGAAGCGUGGGUGGAGAAGCCGUCGUAUGGCAAGUCUCUGGAGGAUCACCUGAAUAUUAGUGGGAGAGAGAUUGCCUUCCCCAUUGAAGCUUGUGUCACAAUGCUGUUAGAGUGUGGCAUGCAAGAGGAGGGCCUCUUCAGAAUCGCUCCAUCAGCCUCCAAGCUGAAGAAGCUGAAAGCCUCCCUGGACUGUGGAGUUCUGGAUGUGCAGGAGUACUCCUCCGACCCACACGCCAUCGCAGGGGCUCUGAAAUCAUACCUCCGUGAGCUCCCUGAGCCACUGAUGACCACUGAACUUUAUGAUGAAUGGAUUCAGGCCUCCAACAUCCCAGAUUUGGAGAAGAGGCUUCAAGCAUUAAUGGCAGUGUGUGAAAAACUCCCGACAGACAACUUGAACAAUUUCAGAUAUCUAAUCAAAUUCUUAGCCAGGCUAACCGACUUCCAAGACGACAAUAAGAUGACUCCCGGUAACCAGGCCAUUGUUCUUGGUCCUAACUUGCUCUGGACACACACUGAACCGAACAUGACGGAGAUGAUGACCACCCUGUCCCUACAGAUUGUUAGCAUCGUUGAGCCCAUUAUUCAGCAUGCUGACUGGUUCUUCCCUGGAGAGAUUGAAUUCAACUUGACAGGGUGCUACGGCAGCCCGAUCCACAGCAACCACAACUCCAACUACAGCUCCAUGCCCUCACCAGACAUGGACCAAUCGGAGCGCAAGCAGCAGCACGACCAGAGCCGACGGCCACUGAGCGUUGCCACGGACAACAUGAUGCUGGAGUUUUACAAGAAGGAUGGUAUGGGCGUGCGGGUUAUGGAUACUUCCUGGGUGUCUCGUAAGGGUUCGGCCACUCUGUCGCGAAAGACCUCCUCCACCCCUCCAGGCCUGCAGGGCUCCGUGGACACGCUCAUACCCGAGCAGCCCGGAGAGCUCGCCUGCUCCCCGUCUGCGACCCCCCCACUGGGAGAAAGGAUUUGUUCAUUCAAGAGUAAAGAGCUCUCCCCUGUAAUUGGACACAAAGGCAUCCAGGUGGCCGGUCCGACAGUCCCCCUCAGCUGUAGUCCUCAGAGCAGCAGCCAGUCCCCCCACUCCACAGAGCACAGUCCACACUCCCUGCGCAAAGGUUCCAAGAAGUUGGCCCCUGUGCCUCCCAAGGUCCCUUACAGCCAGUCUUGCGGGAUGUCCGACCAGUCAACAGGUCAGCCGUCACCGGUCAGCCUGUCCCCCACACCUCCUAGCACCCCCUCCCCUUAUGGACUGGCCUGCCCUCCGGGGCAAGUGCCGCCUUGCUCCCCUGGGCAGACCCUGUUUGGGGCGUCCCACUCCCUUUCGUCCCCUCCCUCCCUGACCGGAACGCUCACCAAGUCGCGGCCCGCCCCAAAGCCCAGGCAGAGACCCAGUCUGCCCCCUCCUCAGCCGCCCACAGCCCCCCAGUUGUUCACAGGCUCGGCCAUGGCCACAGUCCCCCAGCCCCUGGAGCAGGGCCUCCUGGAUGGACUGUCUCCCGGGGAGAGCAUGUCUACAGGUAAACACCAGCCAUUGGCAACAACACCCCCUCCGCCCCCUCAGAUGGGGCUGCAGCGGCCCUCUCUCAGACUCGCUGUGGCUCUGUCCAAUGGAGAUGGCGGACGAGUGUAGAACUCUGUAGGACUUGUCAUAUGUCAUGUAGAUAUAAAAGAUCCCCUUACCCUUAUUGACUGUUCCCAAGCGAAUGUCUGAAUGAAAAAAAAGUUGCCUUUAGACACAGAUGCCUGAAGAAUUAUGUAAAUAUAAGCAUUUUUGCUGCUACUGUAGUGAGCAAACCUCCUUGACCUAUGUAUUCAUUGCUUGUGUUAUGUGAUGAUGUUUCUGGGUAAUGUGUGGAAACAUCAGAGAAGCAUAGUUCAUCCUGCUUGUAUGGAAGUUGCCAUUAGAUUCAUCAUGUGCUCUCUGUUUAUCUGUGUUACCCAGACCCUCACAUGGCAGAGGUAGGUCAGAGGCUUACUUUACAGUCCAGUCUCUCUUACUGCGUAACAGGCGCAGACACCUAGCCAGACAAACCGCACCUUCUAUCUACAGUAUAUGUUCUGAUGAUGAGGUGUUCUGUCAUGAUAUACCAAUCAUUCUGUCACUUUGCUAUAUUUAUCAUUCUCUUGUUCCCCCCUGCUACUAUUGUGUACCUUGCAGCUGUGUGAGGCCAGGGAUUCAGUGUGGGCUAAGUGUGAGGGGGACUUUUAGGAUAUCUUCAAUUAUGAAAUCCCCUCCAUCAAUGUCAAUCUGGACAGCCUCAUCGAUGAGUUCAGCGGUGCCCCUUGCAGGAGGUCCCUGGCAGUGACAGACUCUCCAGAGGGGGACGCUGUGCCUGAGGAGGAGCCACAGAGCACCACUCUAUGACCUUUGACCCUAAGGCAUCACAGCUAACCAGCACCCCUGUGGCUAUACAUGCUCUUAACUGUCGCCAUCAAGGCCUGAUGGAAACACCAAUUGGCCUCACCAAUGCCCACCUGAAACCACAACUCGAACACAUCUGCUACAGGCUGCAAAGAAACUCAUCUCUUACAAUUGCUUGCUAGAACUUAAAUGUGACUACAAAGAAAAACACCAAAAUGCCAUAGCGGAGAAACAGUUGCCUUUAGGAGGAAAGACUGGAAUAAGUAUAGUAGAAUGAGUAUUAAGUUAAGAGAUUUUUUUAAUUUAUUUAGCUUAUUCAUCUAUGUUCUUUGAUGAAGUGGUCUGUAUUUUUGUGAGUUUUUUCAAUUUAUUUUUGCCUUAUUAAAACAUGCAAUCAUAUUGCAAUAUGAUAUUCACAAGUUGUGCAACUUUUGGUAAGGGAAACUCAGAGCCUGACAUGGUUAGGAGCAAAGCCCCUCCUCAGGGUGUUCCAGAGAGUAGUCGUGUUUUAUUGCUCACAGGGUAUUUAAGCUUUGUGCACAUUAGGAUAAUGCUGAGCCGUAGAGACAGGUUUUGCAUGCAGGAUGAAACGUUUAAUGCAGUUUACUUCUUAUCGUUACACCCAAUCUUUACUUCCCCUCUGCUAUCAUAUAUUACAACUGUUCUUUAUCUGACAUUUACCCUCAUACAGGUAAGCUCACUUUAACUCACUUUAUACCAGCACAGUAUGAGAAGAAUGUUACUGUAAAUUACAUUUUUUUUGGACGAAAGCACCACAAUGUGUUUGCAUGACAAGCCACUAUAAACAAACUGCUUCUGAUCAAGGGCCUCCGAAUGGCAGUAUGUUAUUUUGUGUGAGUGUGUUGGUUGUUGUUGUCCUUGGAGAGUAAAUGUAGACCACCCAUGUGCUGUUACAGUUUGAUGAAAAUGGAUGGAUGACUUCACUGCCUUUAGGUUCGUAUGAUUCUCUCUUUUAACCUUGUUUCAAGUGCUUCAGGUUCAGUGACCUUUGACCCCUAAUGUAAAUACAAAGACUGUACAUAAAUUGAUGUAUAUAAAUCUGAGAGUAAAAGUAUAUGUAAAAAUGCAUAUUUCAAAUAUAUAUAAUGAUGAUAUUAAUAAUAAUAUAUGUGCUGAUAUUUAUCAUGUCUAGAAGAUGUAAUGAUUAAAAAUGUGCUGUUAUUUUUGUCCCUGCACACAAUGAACAGGUUUAUUGUGGAUUCAUAAUGUUUCUCUGUAACACCAGGUAACAAUGAUGCUGCAGCAGAAAUGCAGAAUGUUAUUUCUGCUAGAAAUCUAUUGUGGCUUUUUCUAAUUCUGUCUCCUGAGCUUUGACUUCAAAUAUACUCUAGCACUAAUGAGUUGCACACCAUUGCCCUAUCUUUUCUUCGAAAUCAGUUAUUUAAUAGAUUCCUCUGUAAAUAAUGAGUUUACUUUGAGAACAUUCAACUCGUUUAAUCAAUUCACAAUGAGGAUAAUGUAGUCUUUAGCAUAUAUAUUGAUGGACCGGCUUACAUGUUGUGCUCAUUUGAAUAUAAUCGCUAAUUUGGCACACUCGCUUGAUCACCGUAUUAAAAUGAUUUUGUCCUUUGUUGUAAUUCUAACUGCAGACAAUUAUUCUGAUGUUUGUUUAUCAGAUAACCGAUGCUGCAGUGUAACUUUUUUAAUCACCUAUAUAAUAUUUCAGGACUAUCAUUUUGUCAAUUAAAGUGCAAUUACAGUGUUUUGAGCCACCUCAGUCCAAAAAGUGUUACCCUUCCCAACCCUAGAGAAGAAAAAGCCAUUUGUUUUAUUAUAAAGCAAGUAUUUUCUUUUUUCAGUUAUUCAUUCUAGAUGAACCUUUCUCCAAAAGUGAUGGUAUGCUCUGUGUGUGUUCUCAAUGAACUAUGUUUAUGAAGAUUUUGGUGAUGUUGAUACUUAUAUUGAUAGUUGUGGUGAUUAUAUGAAAACAAUUGCAAGUGCCCUCACUCUGGUUGUUAUUUUGGAACUAUAGGCAUAAAUAAUGUGUAUAGAAGUUUUAUUUUCUGUGCUGGACCCAUACAUUUAUACGAGAAGGCAGGGUUUCUCUCUCUGUGUGUGCAGACUGAAUGUGACUCACGAAGAUUUCCAAUGGUAGGCUACCUGAUUUUGUAAUAGCAAAAAGGCAAAUGGACAUGGUACAUCUGGAUGAAGGUUCCUUGUUGGCAUGUAUUAUUAUGAGUGCAGGGCAGUAUUACUGUAAUGCUUUUGUGCAUCAUAACUGGAACUUACAGCCACCUAAAAGCAUGCAUUCCUGUUCAUUGUAAGUGUGAUUAUAAUGCUGCUCAAAAGGAAAAAGAACACAUGUACCCUCCCCAAAGCUCGAGUCAUAAUAUCAUCACAUAUCUAAUUUCAGAUCAUCUACCUUUACAGCGAUUUUCAAUAGCAUAUUCAUAGAGUUACACUUUGCACCAAAUGGUACACUGUAGUUUUAUCAAGCAUUUUAACUACUGUAGAACUACAUUUUAUAGCUCACCUUACCACCAAGUAUGUUGGUCUAAAGUAAAGCUCAAUUUGUUUACAUCUGGGAGGAAUCUGAAAUGAAAAAAAAUGGGGGAAUCUGAAAAAGUGUCAUGCAUGCGCUUAUAGAUAGUCUUUUGAUAAUCCACGUUUUGUGUCAAUCACUGUCUUUUUAGGGAUUGUAAGAGGGGUGAAAUGUAGAGUUUGACUCUAGAGAAUGUGGAUCAUAAUGAAUGGUCCUAUGUGGGGUUCUGAGCAAUACGGUAGAGGAGUGGUUGUUGCCUGUGGAUGUACUGCCUCCUUCUGCUUACUAGUGUACAAAAACAAAACCUGCCGCUUGUCAAGCCCACCAUGCCCACCCCUCCCUCCUCUGCUUAGCAUAUCAAGUGGAACACAGUGUGUACUGUGAAGCCUACCUGCAAUCCUUAUCAGAAUGUCAGAAAUAAAUAUAUAUAUUAAACUCUACAUUUGUAAUAUCUCACCUGGUUCAUGUGGCUUUUUUGCAGUGUUUUGUUUU